rnacentral:lncRNA from 1 species
UAGGAAAUUCCUUCCAGUUCUACCAGAAUUACUUCCUGUGACUGAACUACAACCAAAAACACAGUUGAAUGUAGAACCAUUGAUGACUAGGAACUCCAACUUAGCCAGCUGUUGUAUUUCCUGAGUGUCUCAGGUACCACAAACAGAGGGACCUUCCACUGGUUUCAGGUAGAAUUUUUGAUUUUAUUCAAUGACUCUUUCCUAUAUUUUUAGGUGAUCCCAGAUACUGAGGAGACUGCUGAAACCUGUGGAAUGAUGUAUGUGUUCUUUUACACAGGAGAACUUUAUAUGAUAAGCAUACAUACAGAGAAGCCUCAGAGUUGGAAAAAGUCAGAAUUUUAUGGAUUGAGCUCUUUACUCCCAAGGGUUAACACGUGCCAUCUUGGAGAAACUCAUCUUGGAGAAGUUAUGAAUCUUUCUGAAGUGGAAGUUAUCACCUGGCUAAGGAAAUAUUUGCAAGAGUUUAGUAAAUAAAAUCUCCAAAACCUGCCUCUCCUGGGAUGUGGCUUGAUCACUCUUUGCUACACUUCACAGCUGCUACCUUCAGGAAAGGUAUUCCAUUGAUAUCCAUUUUUAAUUAAGGAGACCUAUGCUAAUCCACACCGAUUUUAGGAUCUAGCGUCAUAUUAAAAACUUUAUGGAGGUCUUCUCUGUCAAAGAGCAGGCAGCUGACUUUCUUAUUUAAAAGUAUAAUUCCUAAUUGAGACAAAAAUCUUCAAAUCAAAUUAAUUUUAAAAUUAUAGCACUUACUGGUACAAAAAAUAAUUCUGAGGAUCCUGUUUCAUGCAUUUCACUUUAUAAAAAUUAAUACAAUAAUGACCUUUUUGCCUUCUGUAGUAGAUGUAGUGCAUGGUGAGCUUCUGGGCACAUCCUGCUCCCUCACUGAAGUGACAUGAUGCCGUCAGAUUGCCAGCAUGCCUGUCUGAGGAGCACUGCUGAGGAGACAAAAGCUAUGCCAAAGGCACAACAAAUGAAAGUAACACCUGUUUACACAAUCCAACACUACAAAAUUAAUAAAACCACUAAACUCAGGAUUUCCA